rnacentral:rRNA from 1 species
CGGCUACGGUACCCUGACCGUACGAAGGUAGCAUAAUCACUUGUUCCUUAAAUAGGGACUCGUAUCAACGGCAUCACGAGGGCUGCACUGUCUCCUCUCUUCAAUCAGUGAAACUGAUCCUCCCGUGAAGAAGCGGGAAUUUAAUUAUAAGACGAGAAGACCCCAUGGAGCUUUAAACAACGUACUCACACUAUACAUAUAUACCCAUUAACUAAAAGCCCUGAGUACAAGUUUUAGGUUGGGGAGACCGCGGAGAACAACUAAACCUCCACGACAGACGGCCCAAGCCCUUAUCCACGAGCUACAACUCUAAGAAUCAGCACACUGAUGAUUAUGACCCGAUACCAUUCGACUAACGAACCAAGUUACCCUGGGGAUAACAGCGCAAUCUACUUCAAGAGCCCAUAUCGACAAGUAGGUUUACGACCUCGAUGUUGGAUCAGGGUAUCCCUGUGGUGCAGCAGCUACUAACGGUUCGUUUGUUCAACGAUUAAAACCCUACGUGAUCUGA